rnacentral:rRNA from 1 species
UACGUAGGUGGCAAGCGUUGUCCGGAUUUACUGGGCGUAAAGAGCGCGCAGGCGGCUGGUCAAGUCCGAUGUGAAAUCUCCCGGCUUAACUGGGAAACUGCAUCGGAAACUGAUCGGCUUGAAGGUGGGAGAGGGUAGUGGAAUUCCCCGGUGUAGUGGUGAAAUGCGUAGAUAUCGGGAGGAACACCAGUGGCGAAGGCGGCUCACUGGACUGGUAUUGACGCUGAGGUGCGAAAGCGUGGGGAGCAAACAGG